UUUAACCAAUGUUUACAAAGGACCCAGCCAACCUGCUACUUUAGACACAGCUAUACUCACAGUGAGAUCUUUGUUGUGUUGCUUUUUGUUAGAUACUUUUUUAUCAUUAGGGAAUACCUGAUGUAUUACUGAUGGGAAAUACUGCUUCACCAAUAGUGAUAGUAGAGGGUAAAUUUUGCAAAGACAUCCCCUGUAAAGAUGCAAGAGACAGUGACAUUGGGCAGUUGCUUUUUUACAUGGUGGGUAAUUUGAUAAAGAAUACAGGCGUGGAGAGGGAUGAGCAAUAUGUUUUGGGCAUUCUGAUAGAAGGAAAGCAGUUUCUAGUUUGUUAUGGAACAAUGACCUUAGCUGAGGAACAUGAUAUGCAAAUUGACUU